GGAGGAAAGAAGAAGAGCAGUAAAGAAUCGAUGGCAGCCGCCCCAUUGCGUUUUGUGGUUUCUACCGUUUUGAUGAGCAGAAACGUAUCUUAAGAGGCAUUUUGCUGGAUUCAAGCAGAGCGGCACACUUGCCAGGUCAAAGUUUUCACUUUUCUUCUCCGUGAAUUUAACUGUCCGCUUUGGACCGUUAGGGUGCCUGAAUAUGCGUCAUCUGCUUGUUUUCUGUAGACCAACAGAAGCGUGUGAGGCGUAUCGAUUCAUGGCGCCAUCUAUAAACGGCAUUUCCCCAACACCUUUUGCAUUCAUGCAGCCCAGGAUCAUCACACUGCCACCUCUGUGCUUUGUUGUCUGGAUUAUGCAUUCACUGUGGUAGUGCUGGCCAGGUUAAAUCCAAUCAUGCUCGACCCUGUAUGAGUGGAACCAAUUAAUCUUGGUGUCAUCUGCCUAAGGAAUGCACUCCCAGUAUAGAACAGGCUUCUUUUCACUUUCACAUUCUUUAGUAAAAGUUUUAUCUGGAAGUUUGUUUUUUUAACGGACAAAAGGUCAGUGUUAUGCAUUGUCCUUCCCACUGUCUGAGCUACGUCAAGUCUUGCCCGUCUGUUUUUCAGAGCUAGACGGUGCAAGUAACACAUUUCCAUGGCAUCAUUACAGGAUCUGUGAUUAAUGCUACGCUUCAUUUUCUGCUUCCUCAUUACUGCUGAAAAUGUGGUAGAGCUGAAUUUUAGUUGGUCGCAGAUCUCCCUGUAUCCUUCUGUAGCACUGGGGUUUAUUUAAAUUCUCAUAUUUGUUUUCUUUCAGUUGUAUUUCAGGGAUUAGGACAUUUCUUCCAUUUAUUUGUUUUUUAUAGUUCAUAAUUAACUACUGUUAUUGGCAGCUUAAACAGAAUGCAUUUAUUGAGACAGUUUUGAAUUGUUUAGCAUUGAAGGCAUGUAUUUUAUUUCUAUUUAUAAUAUAUGCACAUUUUUAAUUUAAUACCAGCAACACAUUUAAAUGUAAAAAACUGGCAUGUCCACCAGUGCUGCAUCACCCUUUCUGCUCUUUUAACUGCUUAAAGUUUGAUUCUUUUUGGCCAAUUCAAUGGGUCACGGGCCAUCAGCCUCCAUCCUUGAAAAACACAUAACGUAGAUGGCGGCAUAUGUUGCUGUAAAAGCUCUGUACAUCGUUAGCAAUAAUGGUGCCUUCACAGAUGUGCAAGUUAAAUGUGCCAUGUUCACUAAAGCCUCUCCACACCCAAGGCUGUUGACAAGCCAGAUGGUCCCUCUCCUUUAGUCUCAUCGAUGUUUUGUCCAUGAUUUUUAAAAACAAAAAAGUUUGACUGGAUAAACCACAUGAAAGACUUCCUCUUUGUGUCUGUCGAUCUUAAAUGAGCUCUAUAUUAUGUUUAUAUUAUGUUUUCUGUCAUCAGAUGAUGAUGAAACUUUUAACUUGCAUUUGUUGUAGGGACAAAGUGCAAUCAAUGAGAAGGUAAAUACAGUUUUUCAAAAGUGUUCUUGUACCCAUUCAGCGAUUUCCACUACAGAAUUAUAUCUGUUUUCUGAUGCAGGGCCUUCUGAGUACCCAGAGAUCACAGCUGUUUAAUACUGGUUUUAGGCCUUGUCCUUAUGCAUAGAGUUCUCUCUACAGUCUGUGAGUUCUUUAAUUUUUUAAUGGUUUAACAUGGCGUGUAUCAGGGGAAUAUAAACAUUUCUUUAUCUUGUCUUUUUCAUGUGUGGCCCUUAAUCACAUGCCAAAUAACGAAGCAAGGAAACAAAAGGAAAAAAAAAGGCCACACUUUUAAAAUGCUAAUGUGUCUCUUUAGAUGAUUGCCAUUUAUGUUUAUAACUGUCACUCAUAUCAUGCUGCUAUGUCAUAGUAUGCAUUAAUUGGUCAUUUUAUUAGGUACAGCACACUAGUACUGCAUUGCUUUAAGAGCUGUCUUAAUUCUUUGCAUAGAUUCAACGAGGUGCUGGAAAAUUUGCUCUGAGAUUUUCAUCCAUAUUGGCACGAUAGCAUCACUCAGUCGCUGCAGAUGUGCUGUCUGUAAAUCCAUGAUGUGGAUUGAGCUCUGGUGACUGUGGACAUGAUUUGAGUACAGUGAAGUCAUUCCCAUGUUCAAAAGAAAAUAGUUUGAGAUUAUUUAAGCAUUGUGAAAUGCUGCAAGUAGCUAUCAGAAGAUGGGUAACGCUGUGGUCAUGGGAUGGACAUGGUCAGCAUCUGUUUCAGAUUUCAGGAUGUUGUGUGUUCAGAGAUGCUUCUCUGCAUACCUUGGUUAUAACGAGUGGUUAUUUGAGUUACUGUGUCCUAAUUAUAAGCUUGAAGCAGUCUGGCCAUUCUCCUGA